CCACGGACGACGACGAGGACUUAUACGGUGCCGCCUCCUCCGGUUCCUUGGCGCGGGGGGUUUGCGUUGCGCUGCGCACUUGGGCGUGACGAGGAGUCUGGGCCUUUUGGGGGUGGACGGGCGGAUGCUUUUGUGCUUUGGAAUAAAGCAGUGGGGGGCUCCAAAGGAGGCAGGCCUACGGUCGCCGUCGUCGCCCAGUGGAUCGCAUCACAGGUGGAGGUGGAGGGCCACGGCGGUGGACGACACGCUCGAACCUCCUGCCUUUUAGAUUGGAUCUUCUCAGCACCACCGUGUGCCGCUCAGUGGGCAGGUAACACAGGCACUGUUCUUCUCUGACCCACGAGCCAAUAAUCGCGAGUGAUCCUAGCUGACUGGAUAAAUAUCAAGGAACCAC
rnacentral:lncRNA from 1 species